AUCCGGUUGACGAGUCCCAAAUAAAACGAAACACACGUCCUGGAU
rfam:Schistosoma margrebowiei strain Zambia genome assembly, scaffold: SMRZ_contig0005295